UCAGAUUGAACGCUGGCGGCAGGCCUAACACAUGCAAGUCGAGCGGUAACAUUUCUAAGCUUGCUUAGAAGAUGACGAGCGGCGGACGGGUGAGUAAUGCUUGGGGAUCUGCCUGAUGGCGGGGGACAACCACUGGAAACGGUGGCUAAUACCGCAUAAUACCUAUGGGUCAAAGUGUGGGACCUUCGGGCCACACGCCAUCAGAUGAACCCAAGUGAGAUUAGCUGGUUGGUAAGGUAACGGCUUACCAAGGCGACGAUCUCUAGCUGGUCUGAGAGGAUGAUCAGCCACACUGGGACUGAGACACGGCCCAGACUCCUACGGGAGGCAGCAGUGGGGAAUAUUGGACAAUGGGGGAAACCCUGAUCCAGCAAUGCCGCGUGUGUGAAGAAGGCCUUCGGGUUGUAAAGCACUUUCAGUGGUGAGGAAGGCGUUGUAGUUAAUAGCUGCAACGAUUGACGUUAGCCACAGAAGAAGCACCGGCUAACUCCGUGCCAGCAGCCGCGGUAAUACGGAGGGUGCGAGCGUUAAUCGGAAUUACUGGGCGUAAAGCGCACGUAGGCGGUUUGUUAAGCAAGAUGUGAAAGCCCAGGGCUCAACCUUGGAAUUGCAUUUUGAACUGGCAAGCUAGAGUUUUGAAGAGGGUGGUAGAAUUUC
rnacentral:rRNA from 1 species